AUAUCAUAUAUUUAACCUUUUCAUUAGUAUUAUGUGAAAGCUUCUCAAAUUUUCAAUUUUUCUCUGUGCCUUCAUAAAUACCCAGUGGAAACCCGGGGCAGACUGAUCUGGGGAGGGACGCUGACCAGCCCCCGCCUUCAACCCCCUUUGCUUGGCUUCAUGGCGGGGAGUCUGGAGAGUCCUAAGGAACCCAGCUUGAUUUACAUAGUUCACAAAUUUUAUUCUCCAAAUAGCUAUAAGAACCCAGCUUUAAUACUAUAAUAAAGAGAGUAUUUCCCUUAUGCCAAAUAAAUACAGUAUACUAAUCACACCAUUCGUUCUAUAAAUAUCACCUUCCACAUAUCAGGAAAUUUUCUAGUUAUUGGGAUGAAGAAAAAAAGACAAAACUUCUGAUCUCAUGGGGAGAGAGACGAUAAAGAAAUAAGUAAGUUUCAGAGUGUAUGAAAAGGUGACCCGUCCUUAGGAACACAAUAGAGAAGAAGAAAGUUCUGAGCAGCAGAGAGGGGACAGGCAUCUCAGCAGGUGGGUACCAGCAGCAGAUUUUGUGAGGUGCAGGCCUGAGUUCUUCUUUGUUCAAUUUUGAGGUUUUUGACCCUCAGGAACCAACACCGACUAGCUGUUGGGUUAUGUUUUGUGCACACUCAUGCAUGGCAUGCAGACUUCUUAUUCCAGAAAUGUUCUGGCUUGAGACCCUGUCACAUCUCGUCCCUUUAUGGCAAAGUGAAUGAUGUUCUGAGCAAUGUCUCCUUCCCUGGAUUAAAUCAUCCCCUUUAAGCUCAUCCUCCUAACUUCCAUGGCCAUCCCAGUGAGCGUCCCUGGGAGUCUGCCUCUGAGUGACCUAAACAGUGCCACCAACAGCCAGAGCCCAGACCUCUGCUCCGCCAUGAACUCCCCACUGGCGGCAGGAAGGACCUCUGCCCUGGGGCAUUCCCAGUCUGCCCAGGUGCCCUUUUUCCCACUUCAUUGUCACCUGACAAUAGAUUAGCAGGUGCAAUGAACGAUAUUUCACAGAUAUUUCUCUGUCUGGGAAGCUGAAUUCUAACAAGCUCCUCCGCACCCUGGGAGACUCGGGUGCAUCCGAAGGCGUGCGGAUGGCCACCCUGCAGAGUCUGCGUCCGGGGCUUACCUCCUGCAGGUGUGCGGAAAGGUGGCGAACACUCUGUGCAGAACCCGGGCCCUCCCAGGGGAACCUUCGCAGAAUCCAGGUGCUGCUGCGGCUGACCUGUCCACCUCCAUCCACAGAGCACACGCGGACAUCACAGAGGGCUCAGCAUCCUCCAGUCCCCCACGACCAGAGUCAGAUGUCCUUUCUCCUAAAGGGAUAAACUUUUGCGGCAGGAGAGGAACACACCAGUCGUAUCGUAAGGAUUAAAUCUCUGUGCUAGAAGAAUGAUUUAUGCUCCAAUAAAGCCAAACAAAAUCUAACUGGGUACGGUGAGGCCACCAAAAAUUAUGCUCACAAUGAAAAACAGAACAAGAACUAAUUACCCUGGUCCAGUGUCCCAUUUAGCUAUAAUUCUACAGUCAAUUAGUAUUCAGCUUAAUUGUACAAUUAAUGAACAUAUAAAUUAAAUUCAUAGUUUAUUUCUACCACUAAA